rnacentral:rRNA from 1 species
UACGGAGGGUGCGAGCGUUGUCCGGAAUCAUUGGGCGGAAAGGGCGCGUAGGUGGCCCGGUCAGUCUUUGGUGAAAGCGCGGGGCUCAACCCUGCGUCGGCCAGGGAUACUGCCGCGGCUCGAGCACUGUAGAGGCAGGCGGAAUUCCGGGUGUAGCGGUGGAAUGCGUAGAGAUCCGGAAGAACACCGGCGGCGAAGGCGGCCUGCUGGGCAGUUUGGCUGACACUGAGGCGCGAAAGCGUGGGGAGCAAACAGG